UUUGUAUGUAUGGAUGUGUGUGCGCGCGAUGGUAUUGCUGUGAUUGAAUAGGGAACAAGAAAGAUUGAGAGAGAGAGAGAGAGAGAGAGAGAGAGAGAGAGUGAAACAGAGAAAGAGAGAGAAUACAGAGAAAGAUGAUAGAUCGAAGAAGGGAGGAAUCGAAGAACUUUCGAACUAAAAACAAAAAAAAUCAUUCAUCGAUGAUUUUGCUCGUUGUUAUCUUCAUUUCCCCAUAUUUUCAAACAAAAACCGAACACACAACUACGGGGGAACAUUCUGGUGUUUGUAUUAUUACUACUACUACUAUUAACUAUUUCUGACAACACUAAAACCCACCAAACACUAUUACUUCUCCUACAACAACAACAACAACAACAAUAGCAACAACUACUACUACUGCUACUAUUACAGGGAGAAUAACAACUACUAUAACAAAAGCUACACGACACCUAAUGCUGUUACUAAUACUUUGUGAGAGCAUCAACUAGCUCCGUUACUAAAAAAAUGAAUAUGUAAAUAAAUAAAUAAAUAAAUGAACUACUGUUGCAUUACUCUGCACCACCCCCUACUCUCACCACUCUCUCACCAGUACCAGUACCAGUACCACUACCACUACAUUGCCUGUCUCUGUCUCUUCUUUGGUUUGUUGACAGAGGUAGCAGCAGUGCAGUGGUGUUCUAGUGUUUCGAAUAUCAGUGAUAGCGCUGGAGUCCACCACAGGCAAAGACGACAUUUUCUCAUUAUAGUAAUAAUAAUGUAAGCUAGCAGUUUUAUCACCUGUAUAUAAUAUAUUUUUCGAGGUCGCUAUCAUAGGAGAUAUGAUUCCUGUUGUGGUCUUCUGCACCGACAACCGUCUCGCCACUAUCCUUCUCGUUGUCGCGUAUCCCUUUCAGUAAAUUCUCUCUUCCAAUACAUCGCCUUUCACUAAAUGAUGGAAUGCAUCCUUUAGAUAACAAUACUCUUCGAACUUCCUACACAUCCAAGCGGAUGGGAAGCGCCAAAAACACCUGGAACACUUACAAGUAUGAGAAACUCUGGGUGGACGAAACCGCAAAAGGUAAG
rnacentral:lncRNA from 1 species